rnacentral:rRNA from 1 species
GACGAAUGCUGGCGGCGUGCUUAACACAUGCAAGUCGAACGGAAAGGCCCUGCUUUUGUGGGGUGCUCGAGUGGCGAACGGGUGAGUAACACGUGAGUAACCUGCCCUUGACUUUGGGAUAACUUCAGGAAACUGGGGCUAAUACCGGAUAGGAGCUCCUGCUGCAUGGUGGGGGUUGGAAAGUUUCGGCGGUUGGGGAUGUACUCGCGGCUUAUCAGCUUGUUGGUGGGGUAGUGGCUUACCAAGGCUUUGACGGGUAGCCGGCCUGAGAGGGUGACCGGCCACAUUGGGACUGAGAUACGGCCCAGACGCCUACGGGAGGCAGAAGUGGGGAAUAUUGCACAAUGGGCGGAAGCCUGAUGCAGCAACGCCGCGUGCGGGAUGACGGCCUUCGGGUUGUAAACCGCUGUCGCCUGUGACGAAGCGUGAGUGACGGUAAUGGGUAAAGAAGCACCGGCUAACUACGUG